rnacentral:rRNA from 1 species
CGGCAGCACGGGAGCAAUCCUGGUGGCGAGUGGCGAACGGGUGAGUAAUACAUCGGAACGUGUCCUGUAGUGGGGGAUAGCCCGGCGAAAGCCGGAUUAAUACCGCAUACGCUCUACGGAGGAAAGGGGGGGAUCUUAGGACCUCUCGCUACAGGGGCGGCCGAUGGCAGAUUAGCUAGUUGGUGGGGUAAAGGCCUACCAAGGCGACGAUCUGUAGCUGGUCUGAGAGGACGACCAGCCACACUGGGACUGAGACACGGCCCAGACUCCUACGGGAGGCAGCAGUGGGGAAUUUUGGACAAUGGGCGAAAGCCUGAUCCAGCAAUGCCGCGUGUGUGAAGAAGGCCUUCGGGUUGUAAAGCACUUUUGUCCGGAAAGAAAUCCUUUGGGUUAAUACCCCGGGGGGAUGACGGUACCGGAAGAAUAAGCACCGGCUAACUACGUGCCAGCAGCCGCGGUAAUACGUAGGGUGCAAGCGUUAAUCGGAAUUACUGGGCGUAAAGCGUGCGCAGGCGGUCCGCUAAGACAGAUGUGAAAUCCCCGGGCUUAACCUGGGAACUGCAUUUGUGACUGGCGGGCUAGAGUAUGGCAGAGGGGGGUAGAAUUCCACGUGUAGCAGUGAAAUGCGUAGAGAUGUGGAGGAAUACCGAUGGCGAAGGCAGCCCCCUGGGCCAAUACUGACGCUCAUGCACGA